GAGAGCAGCUGAAGGCAUCCACCCACCCACAUACACCUGGUCAUCUGUGUGAAAUGUCUGCUGUGGCGUCUGUGUCUCUCUGCUGGACUUUACUGUCAGUCUGCCUCCUACUCGUCUCUGCAGACCAGAAAAACAUCACAGCUGAGUCUGGACAGGACAUCACUCUACCAUGUCAAGCUCCAAACAACAAAACCAUCAAAGGCGUUGAAUGGAUCCAACCUGACCUGGAGCAUGAACGUGUCCUUUUUCACUGGGAUGAAAAAUUUAUUCCUAACAACCAGGAUCCAUCGUUUAAGAACCGGGUGGAUUUGCAGGACAGACAAAUGAAGGAUGGAAACGUGUCUUUGAUUCUGAACAAUGUGACAACUGAUGACACUGGAACAUAUGAGUGUCGUGUCCUUGUGAGGGGAGGGAACCGCAGGAAGAGAGCUAAUCUGGGUGGUGAACCCAUCAGCAUCAUCUACCUGAGUGUUGUUGAUCCUCCAGGUCACACAGGAGGACACACAAAGGAUAGAGGGAAGGAGGCUGGAGGUGUUGCUCUGCAAGUUUUUGUUGUACUUCUUGUUGUUGUUAGCUUUGUGAUUUUACUAGAAUACAAAAAAAGACGAAGGCGCCAAAAGCGACCACGUCGUUCUUGAACAGCAGAUUCAGUAAUGUUAAAACCAUCUAAUCCCAGGAUGUGAAUCUUAUUUUUAUAUGUACACAGAUUCCCCACUAGGGGGAGCCAAGGAAUAAUAUACAACACAACUGGAAGAUAGCCACGAGAAUGCAUAGGAACAAGAGGCAAAAGGAAAUACUGAAGCCAAAGACAGACACAUGUAAGACUAAAUGAGGAGAUAGAAACAUAAACAUGAUACAGAGACCAAAAAGUAACAACUGUGGCAAGUUUACUCAGUUGUAUAUAGCAUUUGUAUUCUAUUUUUAUCCUAUUGUAUAUUUUAUUCUAUUUUAUUUUACUGUAUAUAGUAUUUUAUUUUAUUCUAUUCUGUACAGUUGUGUACUGUAUUUAUUCUUAUUUUAUUCUAAUUUUUGCUUCAUAACUUUUGCACUGUCCACUUCCUGCUGUGACAAAACAAAUUUCCCACGUAUGGGACAAAUAAAGGUUAUCUUAUCUUAUCUUAUCUUAUCUUAAGUCUGGCUUGAACACGUAACUUCCAGAACCAGAACUUAGAAUAUGAUGAAAAAAAAGGUACAAACUCAAAAAACAGAGUCAGGAACUGUGACAAUUACUGUCACACUUGUUUCCUAUUCUUCUCUUUUAUUACCAUUUUUCGCCCACAUUCCUCAGUUUUAUUUCCAUGUGGGUUAAGUUGUUAUGUAGACAAAGGUCAUUUAAAUUAUUGAAGAUGAGCUAAAUCCUCUGCUCUGUUUGGUGAUUGUUUUAAAGCUUAGUGUGAAUGUUUUUCUGGGUUUUUAUUUGCUGUGUUUGUCAUGUACUUUUGUUUUUGUUUGUAUUUUAUUUAUUGUUUUAUAUUCUAUGUAGUGACAUAAUUUUCAAUAAAAUGUUUUACUGUGAGAAGUUUGACUUUCAAAAGUGAAGAAGGUGAAACAGUGGG
ensembl:lncRNA